GAAGCCAGCAUUUGACACUUAAGGGAAAACUCACCCCAGGCAAAUGCAACUCCCAAAGGUAAAGAGCUGGUGGUUUUCUCGGAUUCAGGUUUGGAGCGGCGUGGAGCUGUCCCAGCCCGGCACUGCCCGUUCUGUUCUGCAAAUGGCGAGGAACUGGAAUGCUGCUAGGUUGCCACCUCCUCCUCUGGCACCUCGACUGUUCCUGUGCCAGCAGCAUGAGUUCUGCACACGAGCAGCGUGAGUCCUGGGGGGUUGAGUUGGAUCGUCCUGUCCAAUCUGCGCCCACCGGGGCGGGUGUCGGUCGGAGGAGACUGCGCUGCCCGCGGGGUCUAGUGCUGAUGCCAGAUGCCUCGUACCUGGAAGCUUUCCUGCAGCGCACGCUUGGAACGGGUGGCGCAGACUGGGCCGACCGCUGCGGUGUGAGAGGCCGGAAGCCGGAGACCUGCCCGUCUGACUUUUUUCUAGUUUUAUACUGAGACAGCCAAUUUUAUUAAUUGCUAAUGAGACUAUGGUCUAUUUUUGUAUAAAAAAAAAAGAGCAUCUUUUCUAAACCUGUGCCUCCCUUUUCCUUUUAGGCCAAGUGUUUCCAAACCUGUCCUGUCUCUCGCUGCAGUAUUACUAACGCUGGUUGGUAGCUACCCAGAUAAGUUAUUUUGUUACUGCAAUGACCUGCCGGAGGGGCUCGGAUGGGUGCUGUUCUGUUCUGUUUUGUUCCAUUUUGCCCAUUUCCAAAGAAGCUGCAGCAGUGAGUCGGGCGCCAGAGCAGGUGCCUGAGCCUGCCGUGGCAGCCAGGUUGCAUGUCCAUGGCAGUCCCUGGCGCUCGUGCUCUGUCCCUGCGGCUUUGUGUUGCAGUCUCUUCUCUCUGGUGGCAUGAAGAACUAGCCCACAAGCACAGAGGGUGCCCUCUGUACCACAGUCUAUGCCACUCUGCUCCUGCCAGCCCUGCAGUGUUUCGUUCCUUCCCUCUUCCACGUUGCUCAGAGCCGAGGGUCCUGCUCACUGCCUCAGAGCACUGGCAGGGAGGAGGAAGGAAGCUAGCUGGGGUGGUCAGAGACUCGCUUUGUUCCACUGUCCCCGGGGCCGCAAGUCCAUCAGGUGCGACAGUUCCGCAGAGAUGGAGCUCUUGCAGUGAGGUCUGUUGGCUUGUUGCCUGGGGCAGCUGCUGCUGGAGUUGUACAUAGUUUCUAAAGUGUUUGGUGUUCUGUUCCCUGCCUUGUCCAGACCUGAGCAGGAUCCUAGUGCGUCUCCACCCCGCACUCCCUCCCCCAGGAUCUGGGCGUUCCAUUGUCAGAGAUGGAUGAGUGCCGAAGAGAGCAUGUCCCGCGGCUCGAGCCAUGUUGAGCAUGCUCGCCCCAGCACGGUGGUUCUCCAGCCAUGCUCUGUGGACAGCCAGCUGGCCACUGAGCCCCUCCAGCUGGCAUCGCAAAGGCCGGACAGUGAGGGGAUCAGUGAGGAGCUGGGAGAGAGAAGGGCCCACAGUGCUCUCUGCUCCCUACAGCAGUCUGGUCCCUGCCAUUUAUUCCUCCCCCAGAUCACACCGUAGGAUAAAGUCCUAGCAAGCAUCUGAAGGCUCAAGGAACACUUGGCUCGCACCAUUCCCCUGUCCCGAGAGCCUGUGGGAGCCGCGUAGGGCAGGGGAAGGCAGGUCCGGGCAUAGGGGCCAGCUGUCUGUCCGUAGCAUUUCACAUCUCUGGGUGCUUCCAUGUGGCGAGGAGAGUUGAUUCCAAGCGAAAGCUGCGGUCCCAGCAGGGUGGGUCUGCAUAUCCCCCCCUGCACAUUAAAUCUGGCAGGCGUGGGUGGCAUUUGGGUUUUGCUGCUCCUCACUAGCACCAGCGUCAGGGGGGGGCCCCCAACAUCCCUGUCUGCGCUUGGAUCCUGCUCCUGUCAGGCCCCAAAGCCCUGCCGCCCCACCUCCACAUGGACGGCACUGGAUUUCAGAUGUGUCACUGCCUCCCUGCUCCAGGGCUCCCUCCCCCUUGUUUGCAGACGUAAGGUCUGUGCCUGGAAAGCUCCUGUGGUCCCUUGGGCAUGCCACUAGAGCUUCCCCACCAGGCUUGGUCAGCACCAGCCUUCUCUGUGGUGGCAGGAAGCCGCACCUUCCUGGUGACAGCAUGAGAUCUGUGCCAUGAGGCAGCAUCUCCUGAAGUCCCCAGAGCCUGGCUUGUGGUGGUGGCACGCAUCUGUCAGCAGAGUCGGUAUCUGUACAAACGAGCCCAGGUCCGUUUCCUCCCGCGAGCAGAAGGAACCACAGACCUCGAGUGGCCGAAGAGGCAGCCGUUCGGCCCCCGAGCUGAACAGAUUCUUCCGUGGAAACACUUCUCGUUCUGCUCCUUCAUGUUUGGAAAGGGGGGUUUGCAAUUUUUGUGGGGGGGUUGGGGUUUUUUUGGAAGGAAGGAAAUAGAGAUGGAUCUCAGUCUUUAUACACCUGCUAUAAGAUAUUUUUGCAAACAGAGUUGUAUACGGAGAUGUAUUGUGUACAUUUACAUGUAUAUUCUGGAACUUCUAAAAAUUGGAAUAUAAAACUGAAAAUAUUUAAUGAAUAUCCAAACUGUGAGACCCAAUUAGCAUUCAUCUAUUUUCUGCUUCACUUUUUUUUGGACUGUGUUAAAGAAACGUAGUCAAAUAUGCCUUUUUUUUCCUUUUUUCUUUUUUUUCUUUUUUUCCUUUUAGCUAUUAUGAAGCUAGGCAAAUUUUGUGCUUUUUGGGUUAAUAGAAACCAGUUGUAGGUGACCUAAGUCUGAUCUAACUUAUUGAUCCCGUGUUUUCCUUUGUAAUAUUGUACUGUGGAUACAACUAUAUUGAGCCAUGGAGUUGGAGUUUACAAAGAGCUUUUCACUUUGCCAAAAUGUUACGAUUUCAAGGCAGCAGCAGAGUCUUCAGCUUGCCUCGUCUUUUCUUAAAAGAGUUAGUGUCCUUUUGUACACUAAAAAGCUGAGUGCUGAUUUUGCAACAUAUAAUAAAUUCACUGUAUUGGAAAGCAA